rnacentral:rRNA from 1 species
UAAUACGAACCGUCCAAACGUUAUUCGGAUUUAUUGGGCUUAAAGGGUAUGUAGGCGGCCCUUCAAGUCGGGUGUGAAAGCCCUCGGCUCAACCGAGGAACUGCGCCCGAUACUGUGGGGCUCGAGGGAGACAGAGGUAAGCGGAACUGAUGGUGGAGCGGUGAAAUGCGUUGAUAUCAUCAGGAACACCAGUGGCGAAAGCGGCUUACUGGGUCUCUUCUGACGCUGAGAUACGAAAGCUAGGGGAGCGAACGGGAUUAGAUACCCCGGUAGUCCUAGCUGUAAACGAUGAGCACUUGAUCGAGGAGCCCCCCAUAGCUUCUCGGUCGUAGCGAAAGUGAUAAGUGCUCCGCCUGGGGAGUAUGGUCGCAAGGCUG